rnacentral:pre_miRNA from 9 species
UCUCGAUGGCGUAAAAGUUAACUCAAAUUUGCGUGGAGUUGGAACAUCUGCCUACGAUUGCCGCUAGGGGCGCUGUGUCAACUGCAUACAAAGAGUUAACUUUUACGCUAUCGA